AAUGAACGCUGGCGGCGUGCCUUACACAUGCAAGUCGAGCGAGGCGGCCCGCAAGGGUCAGUCGAGCGGCGGACGGGUGAGUAACGCGUGGAUAACCUGCCCAGAGGUGGGGGAUAACCCGGGGAAACUCGGGCUAAUACCGCAUAAUACCGAGAGGUCAAAGGGGGCUCGCAAGAGCUCUCGCCAUUGGAGGGGUCCGCGUCCGAUUAGCUAGUUGGUAGGGUAAUGGCCUACCAAGGCGACGAUCGGUAGCCGGCCUGAGAGGGUGAUCGGCCACACUGGAACUGAGACACGGUCCAGACUCCUACGGGAGGCAGCAGUCGGGAAUUUUGGGCAAUGGGCGCAAGCCUGACCCAGCAACGCCGCGUGAAGGAUGAAAUCCUCGGGAUGUAAACUUCGCAAGAACAGGAAGAA
rnacentral:rRNA from 1 species